ensembl:lncRNA
GUUUACAUUGCCAAAGCAAUGUCUUUCUCUCUCUCUCUUUCCCCUCCCAUUUUAAACGAGGCACGCAAGCAACAGUGUGUUGUAGUGUGUAUCAGGGAAUAACAGUGUGUUGUAGUGUGUAUCAGGGAAUAGUAGUGUGUUGUGGUGUGUAUCAGGGAAUAGCAGUGUGUUGUAGUGUGUAUCAGGGAAUAGCAGUGUGUUGUAGUGUGUAUCAGGGAAUAGUAGUGUGUUGUGGUGUGUAUCAGGGAAUAGUAGUGUGUUGUGGUGUGUAUCAGGGAAUAGCAGUGUGUUGUAGUGUGUAUCAGGGAAUAGUAGUGUGUUGUGUGUAUCAGGGAAUAGCAGUGUGUUGUGGUGUGUAUCAGGGAAUAGUAGUGUGUUGUGGUGUGUAUCAGGGAAUAGUAGUGUGUUGUGUAGUGUGUUGUAGUGUGUAUCAGGGAAUAGCAGUGUGUUGUAGUGUGUAUCAGGGAAUAGUAGUGUGUUGUGGUGUGUAUCAGGAAUAGCAGUGUGUUGUAGUGUGUAUCAGGGAAUAUAGUGUGUUGUGGUGUGUAUCAGGGAAUAGUAGUGUGUUGUGGUGUGUAUCAGG